ACCAUAAUUAUAGCACCAUAAGGUAGAAGUUCCAACCAGGGUUGGUUUUGAAGAUCUUGUAUCAAUAGGGAUAUGAACAGGAGGAGUAAAAGCUGCGUUACCUUGCAUGUCUCCUUGAUUUUUUGAAACUUGGUUACUUCAUAGGAUAGAAUCAGAUCUGGGUACAGGUCUGCACCGCAGCUGCUCCUCAGUAACAACAGGAUGAUGGUACACUUUUUGACAGUCCACAGG
rnacentral:lncRNA from 1 species